CCUUGACAUACUAAGAACUUUCCAGAGAUGGAUUGGUGCCUUCGGGAACUUAGAUACAGGUGCUGCAUGGCUGUCGUCAGCUCGUGUCGUGAGAUGUUUGGGUUAAGUCCCGCAACGAGCGCAACCCUUUUCAUUAUUUGCCAGCGGGUCAUGCCGGGAACUUUAAGGAUACUGCCAGUGACAAACUGGAGGAAGGCGGGGACGACGUCAAGUCAUCAUGGCCCUUACGGCCAGGGCUACACACGUGCUACAAUGGUCGGUACAAAGGGUUGCUACCUCGCGAGAGGAUGCUAAUCUCAAAAAAGCCGAUCGUAGUCCGGAUCGCAGUCUGCAACUCGACUGCGUGAAGUCGGAAUCGCUAGUAAUCGCGGAUCAGAAUGCCGCGGUGAAUACGUUCCCGGGCCUUGUACACACCGCCCGUCACACCAUGGGAGUUUGUUGCACCAGAAGUAGGUAGUCUAACCGCAAGGAGGACGCUUACCACGGUGUGGCCGAUGACUGGGGUGAAGUCGUAACAAGGUAAGCGUAGAUGA
rnacentral:rRNA from 1 species